AUGGUUUUCUCUCAGCUUUUUUCAGACACCUGCAGGAUGACACACUUUCUCCUCUCCAGGCUGUAGAGCUCUGUGGUAAUCAGUCUUUAUGUCAGACUGGUUUGAGCUGACAGAAAUGCUGCACUAACUCAGAUAAAACUAGAACUGUGCUGAGCAGAAAAGCAGCUCAGGUUCAUGAGUCUCCUCCUACUGUUUGACUGCAGCUGUGAACAUCAGACCAAACACAAAACCUCUCACAGAUAAUUCAUCCUGAACUCCAGGUCCACCAUUUCUCCUCUGGAAACAUGGAAACACUGGCUGUGAUUUGCUUCUUUUCAGCUCUCGUAGGUAACAGCCUGGAAGAUGAUAUAACUCCCAGCAGAGCUGAAGUGUUUUCAUCAGAGGGUCAAAGAGAAACUCUGUCCUGUAACUACUCAGUUGCAGCUGAGAACCUGCAGUGGUAUCGACAGGAUCCUGGAUCAGGUCCUCAGUUCCUUCUCCUCAUCACUGUUUCAACAAGUCCAACUGUGGUGGAAGCAGAACCUCCAUACCCUGGACUGACUGUAGAACUGAAGAGGGACAGAAAACAAGUAGAUCUGGAGAUCUCCUCUGCUGCAGUGUCUGACUCUGCUGUGUACUACUGUGCUCUGCAGCCCACAGUGACAGGAAACAGCAAAACUCUGUACAAAAACCUUUGGAGCAAAGACAACGCAAUACUCCACAACGUCCACUAGAGGGCCUCACACACUGUUACACUUCUAUGGUUUGUCAGGAUUCAGUCUGGGUUCUUUGUACAGGUGGAAAUAAAGUAAACAUCACUGUUUUCU